rnacentral:lncRNA from 1 species
ACAGAUAUAGAUACAGUAGAUACAGAUGGAUAUAGAUACAGAUAUAGAUACAGAUAGAUACAGAGACAGAUACAGAUACAGUGGAUACAGAUAUAGAUACAGAGACAGAUAUAGAUACAGUGGAUACAGAUAGAUACAGAGACAGAUAUAGAUACAGUGGAUACAGAUAUAGAUACAGAUACAGAUAUAGAUACAGUGCAUACAGAUAGAUACAGAGACAGAUAUAAAUACAGUGGAUACAGAUAGAUACAGAUAUAAAUACAGUGGAUACAGAUAGAUGCAGAGACCGAUAUAAAUACAGUGGAUACAGAUGGAUAUAGAUACAGAUAUAGAGACAGAUAUAGAUAUAGAGACAGAUAUAGAUACAGUGGAUACAGAUAGAUACAGAUAUAGAUACAGAUAUAGAUACAGUGGAUACAGAUAUAGAUAUAGAUACAGAUGGAUACAGAUAGAUAUAGAUAUAGAUACAGAUAUAGAUAUAGAUACAGUGGAUACAGAUAGAUAUAGAUACAGUGGAUACAGAUAUAGAUACAGAUGGAUACAGAUAGAUACAGAUAUAGAUAUAUAUAUAUAGAUAUAGAUACAGUGGCUACAGAUAUAUAUAGAUACAGAUAUAGAUACAGUGGAUACAGAUAGAUAUAGAUACAGAUAUAGAUACAGAUACAGAUAUAGAUACAGAUGGAUAUAGGUACAGUGGAUACAGAUAUAGAUACAGUGGAUACAGAUACAGAUAUAUAUACAGAUAUAGAUACAG